CCGGGAUAACUCCGGGAAACCGGAGCUAAUACCGGAUAACACCAAAGACCGCAUGGUCUUUGGUUGAAAGGCGGCUUCGGCUGUCACUUGCGGAUGGGCCCGCGGCGCAUUAGCUAGUUGGUGAGGUAACGGCUCACCAAGGCGACGAUGCGUAGCCGGCCUGAGAGGGUGACCGGCCACACUGGGACUGAGACACGGCCCAGACUCCUACGGGAGGCAGCAGUAGGGAAUCUUCCGCAAUGGACGAAAGUCUGACGGAGCGACGCCGCGUGAGCGAAGAAGGCCUUCGGGUCGUAAAGCUCUGUUGUGAGGGACGAAGGAGCGCCGUUUGAAUAAGGCGGCGCGGUGACGGUACCUCACGAGAAAGCCCCGGCUAACUACGUGCCAGCAGCCGCGGUAAUACGUAGGGGGCGAGCGUUGUCCGGAAUUAUUGGGGCGUAAAGCGCGCGCAGGCGGGUCCUUUAAGUCUGAUGUGAAAGCCCACGGCUCAACCGUGGAGGGUCAUUUGGAAACUGGGGGACUUGAGUGCAGGAGAGGAGAGCGGAAUUCCACGUGUAGCGGUGAAAUGCGUAGAGAUGUGGAGGAACACCAGUGGCGAAGGCGGCUCUCUGGCCUGUAACUGACGCUGAGGCGCGAAAGCGUGGGGAGCAAACAGGGAUUAGAUMCCCUGGUAGUCCACGCCGUAAAACGAUGAGUGCUAAGUGUUAGAGGGGUCACACCCUUUAGUGCUGUAGCUAACGCGAUAAGCACUCCCGCCUGGGGAGUACGGCCGCAAAGGCUGAAACUCAAAGGAAUUGACGGGGGCCCCGCACAAAGCGGUGGAGCAUGUGGUUUAAUUCGAAGCAACCGCGAAGAACCUUACCAGGUCUUGACAUCCCCUGACAACCCAAAGAGAUUGGGUGUUCCCCCUUCGGGGGGACAGGGUGACAGGUGGUGCAUGGUUGUCGUCAGCUCGUGUCGUGAGAUGUUGGGUUAAGUCCCGCAACGAGCGCAACCCUUGCCUCUAGUUGCCAGCAUUCAGUUGGGCACUCUAGAGGGACUGCCGGCUAAAAGUCGGAGGAAGGUGGGGAUGACGUCAAAUCAUCAUGCCCCUUAUGACCUGGGCUACACACGUGCUACAAUGGGCGGUACAAAGGGCUGCGAACCCGCGAGGGGGAGCGAAUCCCAAAAAGCCGCUCUCAGUUCGGAUUGCAGGCUGCAACUCGCCUGCAUGAAGCCGGAAUCGCUAGUAAUCGCGGAUCAGCAUGCCGCGGUGAAUACGUUCCCGGGCCUUGUACACACC
rnacentral:rRNA from 1 species